GAUGAAGAACGUAGCGAAAUGCGAUAAGUAAUGUGAAUUGCAGAAUUCAGUGAAUCAUCGAAUCUUUGAACGCACAUUGCGCCCGCCAGUAUUCUGGCGGGCAUGCCUGUUCGAGCGUCAUUACAACCCUCAGGCCCCCGGGCCUGGCGUUGGGGAUCGGCGGAAGCCCCCUGCGGGCACAACGCCGUCCCCCAAAUACAGUGGCGGUCCCGCCGCAGCUUCCAUUGCGUAGUAGCUAACACCUCGCAACUGGAGAGCGGCGCGGCCACGCCGUAAAACAUCCAACUUCUGAAUGUUGACCUCGAAUCAGGUAGGAAUACCCGCUGAACUUAAGCAUAUCAAUAAGCGGAGGA
rnacentral:misc_RNA from 1 species